AGGCAAUGAUGAGUGAAGUAUAGUCUGACCUGGUAUUGCCACAACUUCUGGUUUGGCUCUGACCAGGACAUGAUCACGUAAUCUUCUCUCUGAGCAG
ensembl:snoRNA SNORD7 Z30 small nucleolar RNA